AAUGAACGUUGGCGGCAUGGAUUAGGCAUGCAAGUCGAGCGCGAAACGUAGCAAUACGUGGAGAGCGGCGAAAGGGAGAGGAAUAUAUAGAUACCUACCUUCUGGUCUGGUAUAGCGGCGGGAAACUGCCGGUAAUACCAGAUAACGGCUCCGGACCAAAGGGUUGAUUCCACCGGGGGAUGGGUUCAUAUCCUAUCAGCUAGUUGGUAAGGUAACGGCUUACCAAGGCUAAGACGGGUACGGGGUGUGAGAGCAUGCCCCCGCUCACUGGGACUGAGACACUGCCCAGACACCUACGGGUGGCUGCAGUCGAGGAUCUUCGGCAAUGGGCGAAAGCCUGACCGAGCGAUGCCGCGUGUGGGAUGAAGGCCUUCGGGUUGUAAACCACUGUCGUAGGGGAUUAAUGGUAGGUGGGUUCUCCCAUCUAUUUGAACGAUCCUAGGAGGAAGGACGGGCUAAGUUCGUGCCAGCAGCCGGCCGUAA
rnacentral:rRNA from 1 species